rnacentral:rRNA from 1 species
UUGGCUUAGAAGCAGCCAUCCUUGAAAGAGUGCGUAAUAGCUCACUGGUCAAGUGGUUCCGCGCCGACAAUGUAGCGGGGCUUAAGCACACCGCCGACGCCGCGGCAGUCCAUCGUGGUCCUAGCCUGUCCGUUGGGCGGGUUCAGGGGGUGGGCUGGGUAGGGGAGCGUCCCGCGUUGGGUGAAGUCUCGGGGUGACCCGGGGUGGACGGCGUGGGAGUGAGAAUGCAGGCAUGAGUAGCGAGAGGCGGGUGAGAAACCCGUCCGCCGAUUGACUAAGGGUUCCAGGGCCAGGUUGAUCCGCCCUGGGUUAGUCGGGUCCUAAGGCGAGGCCGACGGGCGUAGUCGAUGGACAACGGGUUGAUAUUCCCGUACCGGCGCUUGACCGUUCAAUGUUCGCCGGGGUGAUGCUAACCAUCCCCGAUCCUGUGUGUCUCUUUCGGGAGGCGUGUGGGGGAGGGCGUGGGGUCCGAGCCUGGGUGGGCAAGCGUGGUAACAGGUGUGACGCAGAGUGGUAGUCCAACCGUGUCGUAUGGCUGAGCACGGCUAAGGGUGCAGCCCGUCUCCCAGGUAAAUCCGGGGGGCGUUCGGGUCAGGCCUGAUGGGGACCGUUUGACGGGAAGUGGAUGAUCCUGUGCUGCCGAGAAAAGCAUCGACGUCAGGGCAAGCGCCGCCCGUACCCGAAACCGACACAGGUGGUCAGGUAGAGUAUACCGAGGCGUGCGAGUCAAUCGUGGUUAAGGAACUCGGCAAAAUGCCCCCGUAACUUCGGGAGAAGGGGGGCCCCGGUCUUGACGUCCCCGUGCGGGGCGGAGGGGUCGGGGCCGCAGAGUCCAGGGAGAAGCGACUGUUUAUCAAAAACACAGGUCCGUGCUAAGCCGCAAGGCGAUGUAUACGGACUGACGCCUGCCCGGUGCUGGAAGGUUAAGCGGACUGGUCAGCCCUUCGGGGUGAAGCUGGGAAGUUAAGCCCCAGUAAACGGCGGUGGUAACUAUAACCAUCCUAAGGUAGCGAAAUUCCUUGUCGGGUAAGUUCCGACCUGCACGAAUGGCGUAACGACUUCUCCGCUGUCUCGACCACGAGCUCGGUGAAAUUGCAGUACGAGUAAAGAUGCUCGUUUCGCGCAGCAGGACGGAAAGACCCCGGGACCUUUACUAUAGCUUGGUAUUGGUGUUCGGUACGGCUUGUGUAGGAUAGGUGGGAGACUGUGAACCGGUCACGCUAGUGGGCGGGGAGUCGUUGGUGAAAUACCACUCUGGCCGUGCUGACCAUCUAACCUCGGUCCGUGAUCCGGGCCAGGGACAGUGCCUGGUGGGUAGUUUAACUGGGGCGGUUGCCUCCUAAAGGGUAACGGAGGCGCUCAAAGGUUCCCUCAGCCUGGUCGGCAACCAGGUGGCGAGUGUAAGUGCACAAGGGGGCUUGACUGUGAGACUGACGGGUCGAGCAGGUACGAAAGUAGGAACUAGUGAUCCGGCGGUGGCUUGUGGAAGCGCCGUCGCUCAACGGAUAAAAGGUACCCCGGGGAUAACAGGCUGAUCCUGCCCAAGAGUCCAUAUCGACGGCAUGGUUUGGCACCUCGAUGUCGGCUCGUCGCAUCCUGGGGCUGGAGUAGGUCCCAAGGGUUGGGCUGUUCGCCCAUUAAAGCGGUACGCGAGCUGGGUUCAGAACGUCGUGAGACAGUUCGGUCCCUAUCCGCUGCGCGCGUAGGAGAAUUGAGAAGGGCUGUCCCUAGUACGAGAGGACCGGGACGGACGAACCUCUGGUGUGCCAGUUGUUCCGCCAGGAGCAUGGCUGGUUGGCUACGUUCGGGAGGGAUAACCGCUGAAAGCAUCUAAGCGGGAAGCCUGCUUCAAGAUAAGUUCUCCAUCCAGCCUGUGCGCUGGGUGAGGUCCCCCGCAGACGACGGGGUUGAUAGGCCGGACGUGGACGCCUCGUAAGGGGUGGAGCUGACCGGUACUAAUGGACCGACCGCCUACACC